GCGCCAUUGUUAUCGAAAAAAUCUAAUGGCGCACCCGCCAUUGCUAACCCGCACUGCUCGGCGGCGGCGGCUUUGGGUCUUCUCAGUAGAGUCACCAACCCACCCAGACCGUGCGUGCUCCGCUCCGCCCUCACGCACCUCACCGCGGCCACCUCCUCCCACCCACCGCCGCCGCCGGCGCCAUGGAGGUCGGCGGCGAGGAGUUCGCGGUCGGCGUGGUGAUCUCCGCGAAGACCACCCUCGGGGAGGAGUUCGAGGGCUAGAUCGUCUCCUUCGACCGCCCGAGCAACCUCCUCGUCAUCCAUAUCCUUCCCAAAUCCAACCUUUGCUCCCCGCCCCCGUCUCCAUGCCGUUUACUUCUGCCUCCUGCUCUAUUUCUGUGUGCUGCCUGGUUGCUUUGUUUCCAUGAUGGCGUAGAUCACAGGAGGGCGUGGGCAGGGCGGAGAGGGGCGAGCGGCGGAACGUGAGGGUGCUCAAGGCCAACUACAUCCAGGAGUUCUCCGUCGUCGGCAAGUACGACGACCCGCUCGACCCGGCUGGCUGUGUGCUCGACCUCUCCGCCAUCCACGCCAGGGAGGAUGCCGCCCUCAGGUGCGUCAUACUGCAUCCCAAACCCUUUUGGUACUACUUUCUAGUCAUUGCUAGUUAGGCAUCAGAUGCUUAUUUAUCUUGUUUGUAUUUGAGAUGCGGUCAAGAUUCAAUCAAUGGAUUUGCUGACUCCAGUUGUAGAUGCUCUAAUGUGUUGUGCUUAGUUGAGUCAUAGUACUGGUCAAUGUGCAGCACCAGAUUUGUAAGGAUCAUGCACACUGAUCAGAUACUCAGAUCUCAGCAGAAAAUCUCUCUAGAUUUAUGUAUACCUAUGGAUACAUACUAAUUACUCGAGAAAAAAAUGUGUAUGCUGCUAAAGCAUGUGGUAGGUUCCUGAACUCCUAAAAUGCAGUGCAGCCGCAUCUAUCUUCUUUUUUUGGCAAGACAAGGUGCCAUGGCCAAGGUAUACAAAGAAAGACUGGUCAAACAGUGCAAGGUUCUCUCUCUUGACUCUUGCUGUUACUUGUUGCUGAUAAUGCUCAGUGAUAAUUCUGAAGUAUGGCUACUGUCCCUACGAUCUUGAUACAAGAAAUUGAUGAAGCAGCAGGGAAGGACCGGAUCCGGAUGGACGUGUACUUUACAUGAGAUGGAAUGGAUAGAUGCAGAUAUGAGAGUAGAUGGAUGGGCAUUAAAUCGACGGCCCGUUCAAUGGAUAGCUCCAGAACCAAUGUCUCCGUCGGAUGUACGGCGUGCGAUGGAUGUGAUCACACGAUGGAACAGGAGAACAUUUUGCAGUAAAGCUGGAACAUUAAUCAUUAAGGUGUGGUCAUCGAGCCGCUCCGGCAGUGCAUGGACAGAGCAAGGGAGAUACUUGAGAUAAAAUCAGGAGGUCUAGUUGUUUGGACAAAAGGAGACGUUCAUUUUGUUUACAGAUGAAGUAGUUAUCUAGAAAACAUAAAACAUCGUCAGAAGUCCAUAGCUGAUAUUCAGAGAGUUCCCCUUGAAAAAUGCACUGCGCCUGAACCCCAGUGGAAACACGAAAGCAACGCCGAGCCUUCAACAAAUCAUAAUGAUGAUGCUCAUGGUGUUUUCUGAGGGAUUGAUCCAAGCCUUGCUGUUCACGCAUAUGAAGAACCUGUCGAAGGAACAGUCUAUGAGAGAGAAGUCAACAGACUGUUGGACAGCUUGGGCCCUCGGUUUGUAGAUUGGUGGUGGAACACGCCAUUGCCUGUGGAUGCUGAUCUCCUUCCAGAAGUUGUUCCAGGAUUCAAAACUCCAUUUAGACAGUGCCCUCCUGGUGUGAGACCAACACUAGCAGAUGAGGAGCUGACAUACCUGCGCAAGCUUGCACGUCCUUUGCCAACACAUUUUGCUCUAGGUGAUUAUGCUAUUAACUUUCAGACUUCAUACUUGUUAUUCAUUCUUAUUGGUGGUUCCAAAUAACCAUGCUCUUACAGGAUGAUUAAGUAUUAACUGCUUCCGGCACCCUUACCUUCUUAUGCAUACAUCACCUUAAUGUUCCACACAAAAUAAUGUAGAAGCACAAGAAAAGUGGUUCUUCAGAUUCCUCGGUAUGAUCCACACCCUGAUAAGGCUCAAUUGUUAAAUCUUUACCAUAAUAACUUGUCCAAUUGUGUCAACCUUCAGGUCCUCUGCAAUUUCUUUGCUACAAAAAAUACAGCAGCUAGGAGGCAUUGCCAUUAUGCAUACAUUGGUGGCCUGCCUCCAUCAAACUGAACCUGAGCAACGGGUUUUGGCGGCUAAUCUUCUCCUUCAAUUGGAUAUGCUGGUAUCCUUCUCUAUCGAAACUAGUCUAUUUCAGAAUCAACCAGAUCUGUACUGCAAAUCUUUUCUUUUCUUUUUGCAACAACAUCAACAACAGAUAAAAUCGAAAAUUGGGCCAAGAGUUGUUGUUGUUGUGAGCGUGCGACAGAAAAGGAACGACGCCAUAGUUGAGCUAAAAGAAAAACAGGGCAAAAAAUUGGUGAACGACGCCAUAGUUAUAAAAUAAAGAAUGCAUUCACCUAACCCUUUAAAACAUUUUUAAAAAGAGGCUGCAUGAUAUGAACAAAGGAAUUUGGACACAUUCAUGAAGGUAUACUGGUCUGAUUAUUAAUUUUAUGUUAAAUUUUCUCCAGGUACUUGUACAGUCAAGCAAGAUUGAAGUUCCAAUUGGGCCUCUUCCGUGGGCGCCACUCUUCCGCUGCUCCUCCGACCCAAGUGCCGACAAAAUGGAGCUCGCCAAGGCACACUUCAUGGACGAGGAGGACCACCCACGACGAUGAACAUGUGUGACCUCACCCCCGAGCCUGACGAGCUCGACAACAACAACAUCGUCAACCUUGAUCUCGAUGACAAGGUUGAUCCCUAGCUUAGUGCCGACACCAAAGAGCUAAGCCCGCCUUCUCCAGAGUUUGCAAAGGAGCUUUACGUUCAGGGCAUGGUUGUUUGCACAGAGUGGCGGACACUACUUUGAUCCUUUGACAGAUAAUUCUUCAUAAUGUGAUAGUGUAUGGGCCUUCUUUCUGGGGACCUACUGCUCAACUAGUGCACUCCUUGGCUACUACCGACCAAAAAUUUUAAAAA